rnacentral:rRNA from 1 species
AUACGGAGGGUGCAAGCGUUGUUCGGAAUUACUGGGCGUAAAGCGCGCGUAGGUGGUCUGUUAUGUCAGAUGUGAAAGUCCACGGCUCAACCGUGGAAGUGCAUUUGAAACUGGCAGACUUGAGUACUGGAGGGGGUAGUGGAAUUCCCGGUGUAGAGGUGAAAUUCGUAGAUAUCGGGAGGAAUACCGGUGGCGAAGGCGACUACCUGGCCAGAUCCUGACACUGAGGUGCGAAAGCGUGGGGAGCGAACAGGAUUAGAUACCCCGGUAGUCC